UGCCCAGCAGAAAGACCCGCGAAC
rnacentral:rRNA from 1 species